GUCUUCGUGGUGUAGUGGUGAGCACGCUCGGCGCGUGUUUGAGAGGUCCAAGGUUCGAGUCCCGGCAAAGGCA
rnacentral:tRNA from 1 species